rnacentral:rRNA from 1 species
CACGUAGGGGGCAAGCGUUGUCCGGAUUUAUUGGGCGUAAAGAGCUCGUAGGCGGCUUAGUAAGUCGGGUGUGAAACCUCCAGGCUCAACCUGGAGACGCCACCCGAUACUGCUGUGGCUAGAGUCCGGUAGGGGAGCGUGGAAUUCCUGGUGUAGCGGUGAAAUGCGCAGAUAUCAGGAGGAACACCAAUGGCGAAGGCAGCACUCUGGGACGGUACUGACGCUGAGACGCGAAAGCGUGGGGAGCAAACAGG